AGGAGCAGAACACAAUCUGAUUGAAGGGGGUCACGUGACCACCCUUUGGUAUUGUUGGUAUACUACCCUGAAAUUGUUAUAAACCCUCUUUUAACCAAAUAACCCCACCCCCAUCACUUUUUCCCCACCAGCCGUAACCUCUUCUUUUCUUUCUCGCGUUAUGCAACUUUCUUCUGCACAGCGACAUCAAAUUCUCCUUUCCCUCCUUUUAUUCUUUUGUCCUUUAGCAAAGAAAAACAACAGCAGCCCCAUUUAAUAUAUAUUUACUCAUGAAUGAGGUUGAUGACACUUCAAUUGGGAGAACUCUGAGUUAACAAUUGGGGUAGAAGUUGUGCAUUGAGGGAGGAGAAGGAAAUUCAACUAUUCAGAAUUUCUAUUUCAAUUGUAUUUAAGAUUUACCGGGUGAAGAUACGUUGGGUUGUCGCGCAUUUGUUGAGGACGGUCCAAUUGUUUCGUCAUAGCUAUUCUUCAGCAGCUGAGUAACAAGCUGUUCCUGGAUUAAGAUUGUCAGUUGUCUUGCUGGUAGGCCUCCAUCGGCUGGUGGCCUCAUUGCUAUUUUAUUUCUUUUGAUUCUAGUUAUCUGCAGCUAUAGGGAGUCAUAGGUGAUUUUAGUUUGGGGUUGACGGUAUUGUUUUAUUUUAAAAGUUGACGCUGAGCGUCAAAUUUUGGUUUUGUACCUUUUCUUGAAAAUUAUGGAUUUGGAGAAUAUUAUUUAGCAGGUUAUGUUAUUUUGAGAUUACAGAAAUACAUAGGAGACUUUGUCGUUUUUUUUAUAAAUUUAUGAUGACGUAUUUAUCAUGGUGAAUUCGUUAUAAAUGGAUUAUGUGUUAAAGGC